UGAUUAUGAUUUCGCUUAUAUAGAAAGUUUGAUAAAUUUUGCAUGCGAGAAACGGACGCAAUCUAGCGAUAGUUUUCUAAUUAUUGUGUCUAGUGACAAAUGUAGACUGAUCGUGCCGUAUACCUGCCGCAAUUUUGCCGUCACGUCGUGACAGCAUACUGUGCUCGAUUUCUGCUGCGUUUCUGCCAACAUACUGAUAAAGCAAAUCGUGCUUCCCUAAUAACACUCGUCUAUUCUGAGAACGUUCCAUGGGCAAUAAUAUAAGUAUAUUCGAGAUAUUCUCCAAACAUUCGAAAUAUGUACUGCGAUAUACUGUGGAAUGUACUUAGAGCAUUAUUAUCGCUCACUAACCUAAUCCCUAGUAUGUACUGGAGAAUAUCUCGCAGUAUGGUCAUAGGAUGAAAAUGGUUUAAAAACAAUAUAUUAUGUAGGGCAUGCAUAUCCUAGACAGCUAUAUAGAUCGUGAAAAUCUAUAAUAUACGUGACACUUCUUACAGAAAA